CCUACGGGCGGCAGCAGUGGGGAAUAUUGGGCAAUGGGCGCAAGCCUGACCCAGCAACGCCGCGUGAAGGAAGAAGGCUUUCGGGUUGUAAACUUCUUUUCUCAGGGACGAAGCAAGUGACGGUACCUGAGGAAUAAGCCACGGCUAACUACGUGCCAGCAGCCGCGGUAAUACGUAGGUGGCAAGCGUUAUCCGGAUUUACUGGGUGUAAAGGGCGUGUAGGCGGGAAAGCAAGUCAGAUGUGAAAACCAUGGGCUCAACCUGUGGCCUGCAUUUGAAACUGUUUUUCUUGAGUGCUGGAGAGGUAAGUGGAAUUCCUAGUGUAGCGGUGAAAUGCGUAGAUAUUAGGAGGAACACCAGUGGCGAAGGCGGCUUACUGGACAGUAACUGACGUUGAGGCUCGAAAGCGUGGGGAGCAAACAGGAUUAGAUACCCUAGUAGUC
rnacentral:rRNA from 1 species